rnacentral:rRNA from 1 species
UAUCGGAUUGAUACUAAGCCAUGCGAGUCAUUGUAGCAAUACAAGGCAUACGGCUCAGUAACGCGUAGUCAACCUAACCUAUGGACGGGAAUAACCUCGGGAAACUGAGAAUAAUGCCCGAUAGAACAUUAUGCCUGGAAUGGUUUAUGUUCCAAAUGAUUUAUCGCCGUAGGAUGGGACUGCGGCCUAUCAGUUUGUUGGUGAGGUAAUGGCCCACCAAGACUAUUACAGGUACGGGCUCUGAGAGGAGUAGCCCGGAGAUGGGUACUGAGACACGGACCCAGGCCCUAUGGGGCGCAGCAGGCGAGAAAACUUUGCAAUGUGCGAAAGCACGACAAGGUUAAUCCGAGUGGUUUCUGCUAAAGGAACCUUUUGUCAGUCCUAGAAACACUGAUGAAUAAGGGGUGGGCAAGUUCUGGUGUCAGCCGCCGCGGUAAAACCAGCACCUCAAGUGGUCAGGAUGAUUAUUGGGCCUAAAGCAUCCGUAGCCGGCUCUGUAAGUUUUCGGUUAAAUCUGUACGCUCAACGUACAGGCUGCCGGGAAUACUGCAGAGCUAGGGAGUGGGAGAGGUAGACGGUACUCGGUAGGAAGGGGUAAAAUCCUUUGAUCUAUUGAUGACCACCUGUGGCGAAGGCGGUCUACCAGAACACGUCCGACGGUGAGGGAUGAAAGCUGGGGGAGCAAACCGGAUUAGAUACCCGGGUAGUCCCAGCUGUAAACCAUGCAAACUCAGUGAUGCAUUGGCUUGUGGCCAAUGCAGUGCUGCAGGGAAGCCGUUAAGUUUGCCGCCUGGGAAGUACGUACGCAAGUAUGAAACUUAAAGGAAUUGGCGGGGGAGCACCACAAGGGGUGAAGCCUGCGGUUCAAUUGGAGUC